rnacentral:rRNA from 1 species
ACCCGCUGAAUUUAAGCAUAUAAGUAAGUGGUGGAAAUUAAACCAAAUGGGAUUUCUUUAGUAAUUGCGAAUGAACAAGGAUAUGCUUAGCUUGACAAAUGGAGCUUUUGGCUUUGAGUUGUAUUGUGGAAAUGUACCACCAACAGAGGUGCAAGUGYCAGCCAUUUGAAAGAAAGCGUCAAUGAGGGUGAGAAUCCUGUUUGUCAUGUGCAGCCCUCUGUGCACGGUGUAUAUUUGCUGAGUCACACUCCUUGGCAUUGGAAUGCAAAGUGGGUGGUAAGUUUCAUACAAAGGUAAAUAUGCAAUUGAGACUGAUAGCACACAAGUACCAUGAGGGAAAUAUGAAAAGGACUUUGAAAAGAGAAUUAAAUGAGUUUGUAUUUGCUGAACACAAAGCAAACAGACUUGAUUUGCUUGGUGAGAUUGUAGUGCUUGCUUGACAAUAGGUUUUGGCUGUGGGUGAAAUGAUUCUUUCUUUGCAUGCCAGGUUCUAUGUGUACAUUUGAUUACCUUUGCACAUGAAUGGYAAUUUUCCUGCGGGGGGUGGAUUGCAUGUGCAUGUAAUGAUUUGUGUUUUGAUGAAUGUGUCUGGUGUAUCUGUUUUUGUUCCAUGUGUUUGAGGUUGCUUCCUUCCUUGGGCUUACAAGCCCUGACACACACAAUCUGGCAAAAUGUUUCUGCUUGACCCGUCUUGAAACACGGUCCAAGG